UACGUAGGGAGCAAGCGUUGUCCGGAAUCAUUGGGCGUAAAGCGCGCGUAGGCGGCCCUGUAAGUCCGUUGUGAAAGUCAAAGGCUCAACCUUUGAAAGCCGAUGGAUACUGCAGGGCUAGAGUCCGGAAGAGGCGAAGUGGAAUUCCUGGUGUAGCGGUGGAAUGCGCAGAUAUCAGGAGGAACACCAAUAGCGAAGGCAGCUCGCUGGGACGGUACUGACGCUAAGGCGCGAAAGCGUGGGGAGCGAACAGG
rnacentral:rRNA from 1 species